rnacentral:rRNA from 1 species
CCAGCAGCCGCGGUAAUACGUAGGUGGCAAGCGUUGUCCGGAAUUAUUGGGCGUAAAGGGCUCGCAGGCGGUUUCUUAAGUCUGAUGUGAAAGCCCCCGGCUCAACCGGGGAGGGUCAUUGGAAACUGGGAAACUUGAGUGCAGAAGAGGAGAGUGGAAUUCCACGUGUAGCGGUGAAAUGCGUAGAGAUGUGGAGGAACACCAGUGGCGAAGGCGACUCUCUGGUCUGUAACUGACGCUGAGGAGCGAAAGCGUGGGGAGCGAACAGGAUUAGAUACCCUGGUAGUCCACGCCGUAAACGAUGAGUGCUAAGUGUUAGGGGGUUUCCGCCCCUUAGUGCUGCAGCUAACGCAUUAAGCACUCCGCCUGGGGAGUACGGUCGCAAGACUGAAACUCAAAGGAAUUGACGGGGGCCCGCACAAGCGGUGGAGCAUGUGGUUUAAUUCGAAGCAACGCGAAGAACCUUACCAGGUCUUGACAUCCUCUGACAACCCUAGAGAUAGGGCUUUCCCUUCGGGGACAGAGUGACAGGUGGUGCAUGGUUGUCGUCAGCUCGUGUCGUGAGAUGUUGGGUUAAGUCCCGCAACGAGCGCAACCCUUGAUCUUAGUUGCCAGCAUUCAGUUGGGCACUCUAAGGUGACUGCCGGUGACAAACCGGAGGAAGGUGGGGAUGACGUCAAAUCAUCAUGCCCCUUAUGACCUGGGCUACACACGUGCUACAAUGGACAGAACAAAGGGCUGCGAGACCGCAAGGUUUAGCCAAUCCCACAAAUCUGUUCUCAGUUCGGAUCGCAGUCUGCAACUCGACUGCGUGAAGCUGGAAUCGCUAGUAAUCGCGAU